AAUUAGCGAGGCUCACGUAAUCUGGCUUGGACUCAUAGAAUAUUGCUUAAACUCUUAGCAGGACCGACUCAAACUCGGCUCUGACGGAUUUGCACCCUAAAUGCUGCGGCACUUCCAGCAGGCUCGGCUUCUAGCAUUGGAUUCGGAUUCUGAUCCGCCAAAGUCAUUUUGUUAAGCUCAACGCGAACGCAGUUCAGUCUACAAAAGUACCGGCUUUUCAAGGGGUUGUGCAAACCAAAAAAAACGUUGAACUUUUCGUACCACAGCUAUGGUCUCUUCUCUCCUCUGUCUCCAUUACUCUUCAUUCUAUUUUUCAAGGAGAACGCAAGACGUUGUAAGAGAUUUAUUGCUUCGUCCGGGAUGUGGCCUGUCCUACUUUAGACUUUACCCAAGUCUGCUGCCUUGUUCUCCUGAAAAGCUGUUGCUGAGUUUGCGUCACAGUAAAGGCAAAAAACCUCAAUUUGCUUCUGGCUCUGUUGCUGUGGAAGGUCUAGAGAGGUCUAAGAUGCUCUGCAAUUCUGAUCCGAGAAUUCAUGAUACGGAUGAGUUUGUGAGUCAGUUGCAAGAAUUAUUCACCCAAGUCAAAAGCAUGAUCAAGAGUGGGAACAAAGAGGACGCCAUGCAUAUUCUUCAAGCAAAUUAUGAAGCAGUGAAAGAACAGAUGAAUUAUGGGUGUAAAGGCAUAGAGCAAGCUGCUAUAUUGGACACCUUAGCUUUGGGAUACAUGGGUAUUGGUGACGUCAAGUUUGUUAAGCAUUUAUUGAAACUGCUGAAGGAUAUAACAUCUUGUGUAGAAGAUGAUCAACCACUGUUGGACUCAAUAUUAAUGCACAUGGGAAGCAUAUCUUUAACUAUUGGGAAGUUUGAUGAUGCUUCACUUGUGUAUGACAGAUGCCUGAAAAUUUUAGAACGAGAGUUUGGUGAGGAUAACCCUUUCCUCAUAACUCCACUUAUGGGAAGGGCAAAAGUCUUCAGAUUAACUGGGCGGAUCACUAAGGCAGAAUCUAUUUAUCACCGGGCAAUUAAAAUCUUGGAAAAGUGUAGAGGAAUGGAAAGCGAGGAGCUGGUGGUCCCUCUAUUCGGCCUUGGUGAUCUCUACAUUAGUGAAGGGAAGGCAAGAGAGGCUGAGUCUUGCUUUAGCAGAAUUUUAUGCAUAUAUCAGAAGCAAUAUGGAGAAACCGAUGGAAAGGUGGGAAUAGCCAUGUCUUCAUUGGCCCAUGCAAAGUGUGCAAAAGGAGAAGUAAAAGAGGCUAUAAAUCUUUAUAGAUCUGGGCUUCAGAUCAUUAAUGAAUCAAAAUAUUUGAAUUUAGAUGAUGAUCUUCUAGAAAAGAUGAGAGUUGAUUUAGCAGAGUUGCUUCAUGCUACAGGAAGGGAACAGGAAGGUAGAGAAGUACUUCAGGAAAGCCUUUUGAUCAAUGAAAAGUACAAGGGGAUUGAGCAUCCUAAUUCAGUGGGUCAUCUUCUGAAUCUAGCCAUCUCUUAUUCCCGAUCAAAAAACUAUACUGAGGCUGAACGUUUGCUGAGAACAUGCUUGCAUAUUAUGUCUAAGACAGUAGACCCACGUGAUCAAUCCAUCACUAUUCCAAUGUUACACCUUGCUGUUACCUUGUACCACCUAAAAGAAGAUGAAGAAGCUGAGGACCUUGCUCUUGAAGUAGUUCAAAUUCGUGAGAAAUUAAUCGGGAAAGAAUCUCUUCCUGUUGGAAUUCAUAGAUCUAGCAUUGGAAAGAUUCAUAAAAGGGGCGAAGCCCUUGAUUGCUUAGUCUCCAUUCAAACUAGAUUAGAGAGGGACGACAAAGAUAUUUUAAUCAAGUUGAGAAGAGUUUUGAGCAUUCAAGAGAGAGAGCUAGGUCAUGAGAGUGAGGAAUCCUUAACAACAUUGAAAAAGGUGGUGUUCUAUUUGGAUAAAAUGGGGCUGAAGGAUGAGAAACUGCCUCUCCAAAGAAGAUUACAUUUGUUAAAGACGAAAUUAAAACACAUAAUUCCUGUAUGAGCUCUUGCAGUUCUCUUCUAGCCAAAAGUUCUCUUGAAAUAGAAAGCAUGGAGUCCUUCCAAUUUGUGUAAAGAAUGUUAAUGGAACUGCUGCAGUAUAUUCUUCAGCGCAGGUUCCCACAGCUAGUUCUGGAUGGAAUCCUUGGCAAGGUAGAUGGAGUUGAUUUUGUUAGUACCCUUCUUGAGACAAUGGUAGCAGAACUCGGUGCAGCUAAUGAGGUAACAAAUGAAGGUAAUGGAGGCAGUUGGAUUAGUCUUCUUCCAUUGAUGGUGGAGAUGAAAUGACCCGAAGGAGGCAGCAAAGUGGAGCUGGAAGGUAUAGAAACUAUUGAAGAUGGUAGGAUAAAUCAUCACAUAAAAGUUAUUGUAAGGGAUUUCGGAUAUGUUGGUGUUGAUGGCUUUUUAUCUUGUAUAUGCACAUAUAGAACAUCAAAUAGUAUGAAAGAUAUUUGGAUGCUGAAAGUUAGGAAUAUAGUCUAUAUAUAUAUCUGUGUGUGUGUGCAUUCUCAAUAAAACAAUGGAAGCAUGUGACACAA